CAGUCGCCGCGGGAAUGCGGAGGGGGCUAGCGUUGUUCGGAAUUACUGGGCGUAAAGCGCACGUAGGCGGCUUGGUAAGUUAGAGGUGAAAGCCCGGAGCUCAACUCCGGAAUUGCCUUUAAGACUGCCGAGCUAGUAGGUGAGAGAGGUAAGUGGAAUUCCGAGUGUAGAGGUGAAAUUCGUAGAUAUUCGGAAGAACACCAGUGGCGAAGGCGGCUUACUGGCUCAUUCUAGACGCUGAGGUGCGAAAGCGUGGGGAGCAAACAGGAUUAGAUACCCCCGUAGUCCCUGUCUCUUAUAA
rnacentral:rRNA from 1 species